CCUGGCGGCACUAGCGCGGUGGUCCCACCUGACCCCAUGCCGAACUCAGAAGUGAAACGCCGUAGCGCCGAUGGUAGUGUGGGGUCUCC
rnacentral:rRNA from 3 species